GACAGAGGGUGCAAACGUUGUUCGGAAUUACUGGGCGUAAAGCGCGUGUAGGCGGCCCGUCAAGUCGGGUGUGAAAUCCCACGGCUCAACCGUGGAAGUGCACUCGAAACUGCAGGGCUAGAGUCCUGGAGAGGAAGGUGGAAUGCUUGGUGUAGAGGUGAAAUUCGUAGAUAUCAAGCGGAACACCGGUGGCGAAGGCGGCCUUCUGGACAGUGACUGACGCUGAGACGCGAAAGCGUGGGGAGCAAACAGG
rnacentral:rRNA from 1 species